rnacentral:sRNA from 1 species
UUCUUCAACAAAUUAAAUGUCGCCUUACAGCUAGGGCAACUCUCACGGCUUGUCAUUCAUCAGAAAAUGACAGAUUAUGAUUUAAAGUGCAAUGAAAAAGAAUCAAAGCAAUCAAUACAAGAGAAACGCGCCACAAGUUCGGGGCGGAGACAAGCUGAGAAAGAUUGCAAAGGAAUUUUGCUAAGUGUUCUUCGACUAAAGCGUUUUGACUUUUUGCGUUACAUGCUUCGUGAAGGCAUCAAUGAGAAACUUCUGAAUGAAGUCUUAGGCGAAUUUCUCUUGGUAAGUAGAUUAGCAGAAGUAA